UACGUAGGGGGCAAGCGUUGUCCGGAAUCAUUGGGCGUAAAGAGCGUGUAGGCGGCCAGGUAGGUGGGUUGUGAAAACUGGAGGCUCAACCUUCAGACGUCGACCCAAACCCCCUGGCUAGAGUCCGGAAGAGGAGAGUGGAAUUCCUGGUGUAGCGGUGAAAUGCGCAGAUAUCAGGAAGAACACCCGUGGCGAAGGCGGCUCUCUGGGACGGUACUGACGCUGAGACGCGAAAGCGUGGGGAGCGAACAGG
rnacentral:rRNA from 1 species